rfam:Capsicum annuum cultivar Zunla-1 chromosome 2, whole genome shotgun sequence
GCCGCUAUGGUGAAAUUGGUAUACACGCUGCUCUUAGGAAGCAGUGUUAAUGCAUCUCGGUUCGAGUCCGAGUGAUGGCA